rnacentral:rRNA from 1 species
GACGAACGCUGGCGGCGUGCUUAACACAUGCAAGUCGAACGGAAACGCCCUGCUUUUGUGGGGUGCUCGGGUGGCGAACGGGUGAGUAACACGUGAGUAACCUGCCCUUCACUUUGGGAUAACUUCAGGAAACUGGGGUUAAUACCGUAUAGGAUCUCCUGUUGCAUGGAGGGGGUUGGAAAGUUUGGGCGGUUGGGGAUGGACGCGCGGCUUAUCAGCUUGUUGGUGGGGUAGUGGCUUACCAAGGCUUGGACGGGUAGCCGGCCUGGGAGGGUGACCGGCCACCUUGGGACUGAGGUACGGCCCAGACUCCUACGGGAGGCAGCAGUGGGGAAUAUUGCACAAUGGGCGGAAGCCUGAUGCAGCAACGCCGCGUGCGGGAUGACGGCCUUCGGGUUGUAAACCGCUUUCGCCUGUGACGAAGCGUGAGUGACGGUAAUGGGUGAAGAAGCACCGGCUAACUACGUG